rnacentral:lncRNA from 1 species
AGAUCUAACACAAUUAUUUCCUCCUCUCUCGCAGCUACAGGAAUCGCUGGAGGCAUAAAGGUGAAAGAAUCACAAAGCUGGCAACAAUUUAGAAAUGUUUUAAGAAGAGAAUUAUUCAUCAACACAAUGAUUCAUGCUCACCAGUUUUCCAGAGGAGCUAAGGACCAGUCUAUGGCUGUCCUCUUGGCUUAACCAGUUCCAGCCGCUCAGCAUUGUCUUCCUUCUUCUUCAGGGAAACAAGAUUGCAAAUGGUACGCCAAAACGCACUAGUUUCUUUGUAUUGUUGCCUGCCUAGCAUGCAGGUUACUAGUAAGUUCUGAGUUAAUAUAGGGUCUUUAUUU